rnacentral:lncRNA from 1 species
UGUAAUUAUAAGUAUUCAAGAAAAAUAUUAAAUAAUUUUCUUCUGCAUAUAUCAGCCAUCUUUCAAAACACUAAUAGCAUUAAAUAUUUAGAAACCUGUCGGUGCAAUAUUUGCCAAGUUAUCUUAAGUUAUAACUUUAAAUUUAUACUUUGACUUACUCCAAGAGUUUACUUGUUCCCAUUGCACAUUCUUCCUUGAUGUUCUAACAUGGCGUCAAAGUCAGGCAUGACCAUCGAUGGAAGCAUUUUCUAGCUCUGAGUGUUAGAAUCAGCUCUGAGAAUUAAAGGGAGGCAGAGGUUCCUAGGAUUGCAUUUCCUUCUUGUGCCCCUGACCCAUCCUCCAGGCUGAUUCAUGCCUUUAGAUUGGCUCUAGAGUCUUAAAAACUCAACACAAGAUGUGGUUAACCCACUGUUGUGGACCGAAUGUUCAUGUCCCUCCAAAAUUCAUAUGUUGAAGGCCUAUGAAGAUAGGGCCCUUGGGAGGUAUUUGGGUCUAGAUGAAGUCAUGAGGGUGGGAUCAUCACGAUGGGAAGAGUGCCCUAAUAAGGAGAUAUUAGACAACUUUCUCUCUCUCUUUCUCUCUCCCUCAUGUGAGCGAGAAGGAAGCUAUCCACAACCCAGGAAGAGAGCUCUCACCAAGAACCGAAUCUGCUAGCACUUUGGACUUCCCAGCCUUCAGAACGAAUUAUUAGAAAAUCCAUGCAGUAUUUGGAAAGAACUUCCAGCAGGCCCUGUCCCUGAGAUGGCUGUCGGGAGUGGAUGUCUAAGAGCUCGACUUCUGGGGGUUGGGGGGCGUGGAGUCAAAUAAAGCUCUCCUUCCAUGAGGUUGGGGAACUUGGAUUUGGGAAUUGGAGAGGAAGAAACUCCAGCUUCCCUCUGAGGACAGCACAGCGUGAUAAAGUAGAGGCCACAGAGAAAACACGCUGAAUAAAGAGCGUUCAACUGAGGCAACCCGAGAUGCUGAAGCCUUUCCUGGGUGCUUCAAAUCCCCGGCAAAGAUGAUUUGUAGGUCCUAGUGUGGAAAACGGUGAAGAACCUGAAUUCAAUGUCCUGGGUGAUUUGGAGGGCUGCCAAGGGCUGAGACAUGGAACCCGAG